GAAUCUGUUCGCCGCAGAGAUCAAUGUUACCGGAAAACGAGGAAGCAUUGAACCGAAUCAAGGCAGAGGUCACUGGAAUCUGACCGGAGAGUUGAUUGUUAGACACAUUGAGGACCCUGAGACUGGUUUGGUUCAAAGGAGGGAUUGCUCCAACCAAGCUGUUGUCUUGUAAGUAAAGAACAUAUAAUCGAGUUAGUUUGAGAAG
rnacentral:misc_RNA from 1 species